UACGGGGGGAGCAAGCGUUGUUCGGAUUUACUGGGCGUAAAGCGUGCGUAGGCGGCUCGCUAAGUCGGUUGUGAAAUCCCUGGGCUUAACCUGGGAACUGCAGUCGAUACUGGCGGACUAGAGUACGGUAGAGGGUGGCGGAACUCCGGGUGUAGCGGUGAAAUGCGUAGAUAUCCGGAAGAACACCGAUGGCGAAGGCAACCACCUGGGCCUGUACUGACGCUGAGGUACGAAAGCGUGGGGAGCAAACAGG
rnacentral:rRNA from 1 species